UACGGGGGGGGCAAGCGUUGUUCGGAAUUACUGGGCGUAAAGGGUGCGUAGGCGGCUUUCUAAGUUGGAUGUGAAAACUAUGGGCUCAACCCAUAGCCUGCAUCCAAAACUGGAGAGCUUGGGUUCUGGAGGGGAAAGCGGAAUUCCUGGUGUAGCGGUGGAAUGCGUAGAUAUCAGGAGGAACACCUAUGGCGAAGGCAGCUCGCUGGGACGGUACUGACGCUGAGACGCGAAAGCGUGGGGAGCGAACAGG
rnacentral:rRNA from 1 species